AUUUGCCCCAAAUGCUGAAGGAGAUGGUCUCAUGAAACUAAGAAGAAGUAACCAACCAUAUGACUUAGACUAGAAUAAAUGGGUAGUUAAGUUAUGACCUAGGUCGGAAACAAACCAGAGCUUAUGUAUGGCCUAGGCAUUUAUUCUUGUGUAAGAAGUCUCAGAGUUGUUAGUUUGGGAACAAAGAGGCCAGGUGGAAAAGCCCACAACAACACCCUCUCUCCCUCCUUCUCCCCUCUUCUUCUUAGACUCUGUGAGGUGGACUGAUCAUCUCUACCGUAGGCUCUCUCCCACCCUGGUUGAUCACACCAACACAGGCUUAGAGCUACAGUGCUAAGCAACUGUGGACAUUCUUCUCUGAAACCUGAGAUGAAAUAAACCUUUCUUCUUUUAAGGCUGUUACUUCAGGAAUUGUAUCACAGUGACUCAAGCUUCACAGUGACUUCUAUAGAUAGUAUAGUGUAUGUUCCCAUAAUACCUUCUUAGUCGUCCAUAUCACUGAAGUGCAUGUUAACUGACAUUCCUCAUUUCUGCUUGGCCAAUGAUUAUGACCAGUUUUAGGAUCCUGCAGGUUUGGGGAGAUAAAUAGAUCAGUUGAAUUUCCAUUUUGGUUAUGCAUGAAAAGAAGUGAAAUAAUUCAAGAACCAUUGGAAUGUAAAACCCGAAAUCCAGAGAUCUUUGUGACAGUAUGUCAUCAUCUCUACGUGGUACCAUCAGCAGCUCUGGAAGAGAGCAGAAUUUACAUUCCAGUGAACGCCUGUCUCAUCAGGACGCUGAAAGUCAAAGCAUCAACUUCUAGGACCAGCAAGCUGACAUCGCUGUUGUGAGGAUGUGAACUUGGCUUCCAUGUCAGUGUUUCUGCUUCACUGGAACAAGGAAACAGAGGGCUUUGACUUUGUUUUCUGGUGUCCAUUGGCCUCGCCCCUCUUUCUUCCUUCCUUUCUUACACAAUACAAGUGACUGAAACGUUUCCCCUUUCACCACUGUACGGAUAUAGUGUCAAGAUAAAGAACAACGAUUUUCCCCCCCUCUUUGAGGGUUGGGAGGAAUAUUGGUUGUUAAGCUCCAUAGAAAGUUAUUGGUUCUAGAUGCUUUGAAUUUUAAAACACAGUGGACCAGGGAAGAAGAAUGGCUGUUCAUGUUGAUUUGAAUUGUUCUUUCAAUAGGUAACUACUGGCCCAACUGAGAAGUAGCAGUUUUCACUUAUUUAGGGUUGUAUAAACAAGAUUAUAAGUAUGUUCUUUUAGGUCAGAUUCACAGAGGAUUUAUAUGUACAAUGCUGGAAGUGAGACCUGGAGAGCUACAGUGCAGGCAGAUAUAGGAAACAGGGGGUCUUAGGGUCGACCAGAUAGAUGCAGUCUCAUCUGCCACAUUUACCAGAGUUCUAAAAAGGCCUCCUCCCCAGUAUACAAUCAGACUUGACCUCCAAAUCUGAGUACACAUGAGUUCGUUUGUAACAGUCUGGGGGAUUUGAGAAGUUCAGGCCUACCAACAUCCCCCUAGUUACAAUGUAAUAUUUAUGAAGUUUGCCAUAUUAGAUUUCAUGAAGAGGUGAAGUUAUUAUAAGAAUUCUAAAUGAUCUCAAUUAAUUUAUAAUUAGAGCCUGAAGAGGAGCCAGAAAGCGUGUGAACUCAAGUUUUAGAAGAACUGAAUUUUAAUAUACUUCUCUUUUCUACCUUUUCCUCCACUUUAUAUAACUAUUGAUUUAUUCACCCCAUCUCCCCCGGCUCCCACAAAGUUAUCAAGGUAAAUGCUAAGAAGUGGCUCAGACAUUUCUAGACAGGUCAUAGCUGUCUAGAUAGGUUUUGUUUACAUCUACAAUGUUUAAAACUUUUCCAAUUUAUUUUUACUUCAUCAGCAAAAAGGCCAAACUAAACCAAAAAACAAACAAAACAAAACAAAACAAAAACCCAACACCAACCCUGUUUUUUGACCUCUAUUGUAAAAGGAAGAACUUUUCAGCUAGGUCUGUAAAUUCCGUGAAGUACUUCUUCCAUCUCAUUCCCAAGGGAUCAAUUCUCAAAGGUUUAAGUUGUGCCCAGAAGGUCCCUGGCUCACCUCAUCAAUGCUCCUUGUUUGGAGCAAUCAGAGAAUAACAUAACUGAGAAGUAUUGCUUUCAGGAACCUACUUCAUGUCACCAAACAUUGUCCUCAGAGACAGCAAUGAUGCAGGAGGAAGUGAAUUUUAUCAUUUCACCAUUUUUUCCUUCUAGAGGAGCCCUCAAGGGCCAGCUUUUAAGGUUUAUGCAUAUACAUAUAUAUGUAUAUGUAUACAUAUAUGUGUGUAUGUAUAUAUGUAUAUGUAUGUAUGUAUAUAUAUAUGUGUGUGUAUAUAUAUGUUUAAUUUUUUUUCUUCUGGUCUACUCUCCACUUAACCACACAAAGAAAUUCUUGCUUCUGGGACCUAAACUCUGGUUUCACCUUUGGUCUCUAGUAAGCAUAUUUGUGUACUUACCUGUAUCCUGUGUUACCUGGAUGGGGAGUUGACAGGGUGGGUGGUCCUGAUGUUGGGUGGGAGAGAGCUGGCCUACUGAUUUGCGUUCACAACUAACCAUCAAAGAUGUAAAGCGAGCAGAGCCAUGAGAAUUUUAUUAAAUGCUGGUGAGCACACUGCA